rnacentral:lncRNA from 1 species
UCCAUUUCAUGGCAAGAAGAAUUUUCAAUUAUGUUCUCAAUUCAAAAUUUGGAUGCAGUUUAGUUAGUACAAGGAAGCAUGUGCACUGUUACCACUCCUGAUUAGAUUAACUGCUUUUCUCUCGCAACAUGUAUAGACGAACUCCAUUGCCUCUUAUAUGGCGAUUCAGUGGGAACUGCUUCCAGCGCUGCGUCAGGAUAGCACACAUUCAGUUGCUGCCGUCAGGAUUGCUACCAAAGAAUUUAUCAGCACUGCAGUGUGCUCAAGGAUUCGUGAUGCAGUGCUGCAUUUUGCCAUCAACCACAAGCCACCUGGAGAGACUCUGUCACAUGAACACCUUCAGAGAUGCUCCCAUCUUGUGCUCCAGAUUUUCAACAAUGGCUCCACCUCUCUGUACUCUGAAUUCAUGGGCAUGCUCCUAGCUGCAAAGCAAGAGCAGUCAAAAACGACUGUCCAUAAAUCAACCACGCCUGCAGCAACACUUGUUGUCCACUUGUCCCUCUCAUGACUUCUGAAGGUUAUAUCACUGCAAAAACUGCAAAAACUCUAUAUGUGAUGGACCCCAUGCUGGCAUACUCACCAAGGAGUACAAUAUAGAAGAAACACAAAGACACAAGCCUGUGCAUUCUAUACGCCCUCUUUCAGUGCCUUCAUGAGUAUUAUACAGAUUGGCAUUUUGCUACUUUCCCCAUGGACUUACAAGUAUAACAAUGCCUGGCAUCAAAACUGCACAAUGUAAGUUUGGCCAAAACAGAACUUAUGAACCUCAAAUUUGUAUACAUUUAUCUGUGUGCAAAAAACUAUGAUUUAGUACCUACUAAAAAAAAAUUCAGUUCCGAGAGCGGUUUCUAUGUACUACACUACAUCAGAGAGUUCGAUGGUCUGAAGCUGAUAACACUGCCAACCCCAGUAAGUUGUCAAACCUCUUCAUUACUGUUGAGAUCGCAAACAUGCAGUUACUAACAGACAUGCUCCCUGCAGGGCUUGAUUUCAUACCUAAGGAUGCAGAUGGCGUACGAGAUUCUCAGGAUAAAGGCAACAAGGCCGACUUCCCAAACUACAUGUAUGAUUGCGGCACUUGUAGAAGCAGUCGCCGGCGAACUGGCCGCGCAGUCCGGGCAGUGGACUAAAGUCUAAAGGCAGGGCCACCGGAUCUGCAUCUUGGUUGGUGUUCACCAUGAACUGCAACUAGAGUUCCUCGCUCGAUUUGGGGGGAGUAGAGUAAACAAGCCUGUGCGGGAUAGCUAAAUAAUAACUGUUCUUCGUGGACCCCACGUACACCGUUUCCUACCAUCAAACGUGGCUGCCGCUCGUAAACGGCGCCGUCACAACCCAAACGGCCGUCCAGUGAGGACCUCGGUAUAUACACCCCUAUUUUAUAGGCUGUACUAGUACUGCGUACAGCUACUCUAGCACGUACGGCCCACAUCCCCGUAAAUAUUGAGCGAUUCGUGAUACCAGGAGCGUGCGCGCUCGUCCGCGCCCAGCAAUAUUCGAGCUGAUUAUCCAGUACUUCAGAGUAACCCUCAAAAGAAAAGCAUCUACUGCUACACAGCAAAGUAGUAGUAGUAGUAAGUACUCUCUUCUCGGAAACUGAUCAUCUAACAAUCUAGCACCAUUAAAUGUAAUUACAUAGUUAUUUUCCGCGGGUUUACUAUUGUAAUCUAUAGUGAUUUUCACUGUAAUUAGCCUGGUUUAGUUAUGUAAUCUUCUUGUUAGUAUUUUGUUUUCUUGAUGAAUGUGGUAAUGUGAUUUCUUCAUUAAGGAAUUCUUCGUCAUUCUGAGUUGCAUGCUCAUCUCAACUUACAAAGGCAGGCAACAUAUAACCCUGCUCCUCCAGCAGCAAGAAAGAAAGUAGGUUUCUAGCGAGCUAUUUUCAUGUUAGUUGUGUUUCCUUUUUGUUUUUUAAGUUGUCUGCCAUUGUAAUUUAUGUUGCUUGCCAGUGUAUUCCAUUUCCAUUUACUGUAGGCCUCCCUUUGUAAUUUUAGUUGAUCGCCUCCAUAAUCUAUGUUGCUUGUGAGUGUAUCUUUUCUCUUACUGUUUUCUACUCAGUGAUAGUACCGUAAGCAGUUUAGUGUGUUCUUUUUGUCUACUAAAAUGCAACUUGAUUCUAGAACAAUAGGAACUACCCACGAAAGUAAUUUCAUUUGUAAAAUGUAAUAAGCCAGAAUGCAGUAAAGCGUCGACUAUGCAUGCCUGAAUUUUUUUACAAGGACUUUUUGUAGUAAUUGUCUUACAUAACUACAGUAUUUUUUUCAACCAUAGUUCUUGAUGUCUUUUCCAGUCUAGUCUUUCGAUGUAGUUUUGUACUGUUUAUUUUGGGCAUUCGUGCAGUGCCUAUGUUUCUGAAUUACAUUGUAAUCUAGCUUGUAAUUAACAAGUCAGGAUGCCGUAGAUAUUAUAGUCACAGUAAUUGCAAAGAGAAGCUCACAGUAAGUUGAUCGACAAGUCACAGUAAUUUGAGCUCUUGUAUAGUGCCAAAGUUUCUGAAAUUCUAUCUUUUGUUCCACGAAUUUUUGUUUGAUCAUUUCCCAAUUGAUUUAUAUGAACGUCAUUCCCCCCUUAGUUUCUUGAGCCUACACUGUGUUGCUUGGUUCUUCUAUCUUUUCUGUCGCAUCUAAGAAGAUUUCCACAGUUCGAAUGCCAAUUAGUAUCAGUGCAUAGCCUGAAUUUUUCAGUCUAUUUUCUGAACAUUAGUUUCAGUGUGAACUUCAUUGUAAUUUGAAUUAAACUUCACAGUAAUUCAAACUUCAAGUCACAGGAAUUUGUAACAGUGCCAAAGUUUCUAGAAUACAGUUUGUUGUUCCUAGACUUUUUGUUUGACCAUUUUUACAGUUGUUCCACAACUUCCUGAUCAUGUUUCCCCCCAAACUUUCUUGAGCAUGUGUUGUGAGUGAAUUCAGAAACUUGCAACUAGAUUUUAUUCCUGUGACCAUAGAUUUAUUGUUCCUAGACUUCCAGCCUCGUUUCCUGCAACUAGAAUACAGAGGUCUUUGUUUCUUGCUCGAAGUCCCAGAUAAGCACAAACUAGUAAUUUCGCAGAAAGGAAUAGCACACAGCAGUAAACAUGAAGUGAUCUAUUCAAGACUCCAGAACAACUCACCGAGGGGGAGGAGUUGGGGCUGGGGCCGGGGCUGGGGUCAGGCUGGCUGCGUGCUAUCAGCGGAGCUUCGGGGUCAUCCUCGUUGACGCCGCUCGUCUCCUUGAGGAACCAACUGGCGAGCCG